UGAACUUGACACCACUGCUUCAUGGUUAUCAGUUUCUAUGGGUGUUUCAGGAAUUGCUUCCAGCUGUGCACUCAACGCCUCACUCUCGGUAUUUCGUUGUUUACGAGUCCGCUUCCUCACAUUGGCAUCAUUUACUGUGCUAGAGGCGACUGGCGUGCUCAGAUCACCACCUCUACUCUUGUUACUGCUGCUGGAGCUUGUUCGGUUUGUUGGCUUUAAUGACGUUGGAUAAAACAAUGAUUUCAAAAGUGAGUGGUACUGCCAAUCGGAAGUACUCGGCACGCGUUUCGAUCGACGUAAGCCUGUAUAGUGCAAACCAAAAUUUAUUUUUAUGUAAAUUAUAUCAAAUAUAUAGUUGCUAGGAAAUUAUUUAGAGUGUAUUAAAAUAAAAGUGCCACUUACCUUCGGUGUCAUCUGUGCGCUCAGUUUGAUUCA